UAAACGGCCCUUUUUAGGGCCCUCAUAUUUUGCAUACUGAGCUGCUU
rfam:Ixodes scapularis strain Wikel colony gcontig_1108379162410, whole genome shotgun sequence.